rnacentral:rRNA from 1 species
UACGGGGGGGCAAGCGUUGUUCGGAAUUACUGGGCGUAAAGGGUGCGUAGGCGGCUUUCUAAGUUGGAUGUGAAAACUCUGGGCUCAACCCAGAGACUGCAUCCAAAACUGGAGAGCUUGGGUUCUGGAGGGGAAAGCGGAAUUCCGGUGGUAGCGGUGAAAUGACGUAGAUAUCAGGAGGAACACCUGUGGUGUAGACAGCUUACUGGACCACUUCUGACGCUGAGACACGAAAGCGUGGGUAGCAAACAGG